GAUGAACGCUGGCGGCGUGCCUAAUACAUGCAAGUCGAACGAAGAUCUAGCUUGCUAGAUCUUAGUGGCGAACGGGUGAGUAAUACAUAAAUAAUCUGCCCAUAUGACUGGGAUAACUAUUGGAAACGAUAGCUAAUACCGGAUAGGUUGAUUGGAGGCAUCUCUGAUUAAUUAAAGUAGGAUUUCUACACAAAUGGAUGAGUUUAUGGUGCAUUAGUUAGUUGGUGGGGUAACGGCCUACCAAGACGAUGAUGCGUAGCCGACCUGAGAGGGUGACCGGCCACACUGGGACUGAGACACGGCCCAGACUCCUACGGGAGGCAGCAGUAGGGAAUUUUCGGCAAUGGGCGCAAGCCUGACCGAGCAACGCCGCGUGAGUGAUUAAGGCCUUCGGGUUGUAAAGCUCUGUUGUAAGGGAAGAACAUUCAGGAUAGGAAAUGAUCUUGAACUGACGGUACCUUACCAGAAAGCCACGGCUAACUUCGUGCCAGCAGCCGCAGUAAGAC
rnacentral:rRNA from 1 species